UACGUAGGGCGCGAGCGUUGUCCGGAAUUAUUGGGCGUAAAGAGCUCGUAGGCGGCCUGUUGCGUCCGCUGUGAAAGCCCGGGGCUUAACCCCGGGUCGCAGUGGAUACGGGCAGGCUAGAGGUAGGUAGGGGAGAAUGGAAUUCCCGGUGUAGCGGUGAAAUGCGCAGAUAUCGGGAGGAACACCGGUGGCGAAGGCGGUUCUCUGGGCCUUACCUGACGCUGAGGAGCGAAAGCGUGGGGAGCGAACAGG
rnacentral:rRNA from 1 species